rnacentral:rRNA from 1 species
ACGGGAGGCAGCAGUGGGGAAUAUUGGGCAAUGGGCGAAAGCCUGACCCAGCAACGCCGCGUGAAGGAAGAGGAUCUUUGGAUUGUAAACUUCUUUUAUGAGGGACGAAGGAAGUGACGGUACCUCAUGAAUAAGCCACGGCUAACUACGUGCCAGCAGCCGCGGUAAUACGUAGGUGGCAAGCGUUAUCCGGAUUUACUGGGUGUAAAGGGCGCGUAGGCGGGAGAGCAAGUCAGAUGUGAAAUCUGUGGGCUUAACUCACAAACUGCAUUUGAAACUGUUUUUCUUGAGUGCUGGAGAGGUAGAUGGAAUUCCUUGUGUAGCGGUGAAAUGCGUAGAUAUAAGGAAGAACACCAGUGGCGAAGGCGGCUUACUGGACGAUCACUGACGCUGAGGCUCGAAAGCGUGGGGAGCAAACAGGAUUAGAUACCCUGGUA